rnacentral:lncRNA from 1 species
UAAUCUAUCUCAUUUUCUCGUGCAGUUCCCUCAAGGAGUCUCCAUGUUGUGCAAGGUGCCAUCUAUCAUGCGGAUGUGCAGCAAUGUGUGGUUCAAAAAUGUACCAGUGAUGUUAGGUGAACCUAAGGUAUUGGUUCGUGUCACAAUUUGCUAAUGUUAUCUCCUCUUGGUAGUUGUUAAUCCUAGGCUUAGUCAUCACUAGAAUCACCGUUUUCAUUACCCAAUUCGAUGGUGAUGAGAUGGACCUACAUAUCGCCUUCCCUUAGGCACUUUUUGAUCUUCAAUCUUUGGGUGACAUGGGCCUCCUGGAAUUGAAAGACGGCCUCCUCUGCUUUACCCCACCUGGACCUCUUAUGCCAUGUGACAAAAGAAUCUAUAGCAGGCAGCACGAGCACCAAGUGCAAGCUGCCCUAGCUCCUCCACCGCCCAACUUGGACAGUAGGAGAUGAGGUUUGGGGUAUGGAAAUUUAAUUUGGUUAGCUU